rnacentral:lncRNA from 1 species
UCGGAAAGAAGGAGCUCUCCUUAGGCUGGGAGGGGCCAAGCCGCUGGCCCGUGAGCCUGGGGCAGCUCUGGACUGUGCUUGCUGUCCUUGAGGAGAAUGCAGCCAGCCCAGGGCAAAUCAGAGCCAGGCAGAACAUGGCCCUAACAGUGGGCAGCAUGAAACUGAGGAACACAGCAGGAAGCUGAUUUAGGCAAACUCAGCAGGAAGUGUUCCCUGUGAACCCAUGAGACUUCAUCCCUGCGUUGGUCUGGCUGGCUUUCCCUGUGAGAUACAGGUUCCUCCUGAAGAGCUGAAGCUCCAUUCCAGCUCUAGACUUCUCCUUGCUUUCAGACUUCAAGAUGAGAAGCAUUUUUCCAGUCCACAAGUGUUAGAGGACACUGCCGAUGAUGUGUGUUUUGCCCAGGCUGGACUCAGCUUCUUUGUCUCGCAGCCUGGCGAAGAGGCAGUGCUGUGCCAGGAAAUAGCACCCAGGCAGGACUCCAGGGUGGGGACCGCUAAUCUGGCUUUGCCACAAAUGCAAGGAAGACUGGGAAAUGCAGUAUACAGCUGGAGACAUCAUUGCCCUAAAUAAAAAUAGGACUCUUACCAAGAAGGGAGAGGAGAAUGGAUAUUGGGUGGCAUCACAGUCUCUCACACCUGAGCAUCUGAUUCUGUCAGAAGUUAAAUGAUGACCUCUCCUGUGGAUCCCUGGGUUCUUAUGAAGCAUGAGUAUAAUACAAGAUGUCAACAGGUAUUGCAAAGAUACUUAUGGAGCACCCCCAUGUUUGAGGAGCUGUGCGAGGCCUUGGAGUUGAAGCCGUGAGUAGAAAGACAAAGGCUCGGGCUCAGGAGCUUAUAUUCUAGUGAGAAGAGUGACAAUGAAGAUGCAGCUGCCAGGAUCUACCACAACCUGUACAGGAUGUUUUGGGACAGCGACUUGGAGCAGCAUUUGGUGGGAGAGGACGGAAGCUGUGAGACGUCAGCUCUGAGCCCUGAGUCCAGGGCUGGUCCUGUGGAGACAGGGGUUGCUAUGUCAUGAGCAGUGUGUGUGUGAGUAUGAGGUGUGGGAGGAAAGGUAGUAAGAAGCUGAGAAAAUGCCUCAAGCUGACCUCUCCCAAGGGAGUUGGAGCCAUGAGUACCUGGGCACCCUGAGGUGAACACUCCUUGCUCUGUGGGUCUCUAGUAUCUAACAAUAAGACCCCACCUGCACCUAUUGAUACACCUCAGGGUGAGAGGCAAAGAAACAUCACUGGGAAACUACAGACACGCAAUCAGGACUUUUCUCUAAUGUAAAGAGAACUUAGGGUCAGGAUUCAGGGAUCAAAUCUAGCUUCCUUGUUUGGCCUCUCUGAGUCUUUGUCCCUUUGCCUCUAAAACUGAGUAUUUCCUUGCCUUAUCUGAGCUUAUGUAAGGGCUAAAUGGGACAUGCUAUACCAAAAACAAUUUAUGGAGACCCAGUUCACUAUAAGAGUACAAUGCAUUCAUCUUCUUCAUCUUUGUAACUUUCGCUACUCCUUUCUGUUUAAAUUGAAACAGAUCUGGAGGCUUGUUUUCUAGAGGAACAACAAUGAAAAAAACAAGCAACAGGGAAAGUAGUCUUUGGUUAGUGAGUAUUCAGGAAAUUUCGGGGCAAAACAAGGAAGGUGAUUGGAACCCUAAUAAGAUCGCUUCCAGCAUAAGGAUGACAGUGAUGGCAGAGAGGAGACUUCAUACUUGGACAUAGCUUUGUGAGCUCCUAAAGAAGCCCAGCUCAUAGUCUGCCCUUCCAGAUAGCCUGCUGAAGGAACAGUGAAGUUUGGAGCUGAAACAGCUUCCUGAGCAGAAAUCUAGUUCAUUUCCCCAUGCUCAGGAGAGUGGCUUAGAAGCCACCAUCUCUGCCUUUUUUUCCUGUUGCUGUCUGUGGCUGACUGUGGCAGGUGGGAAGCUCUGGGAGCUCCAGCUCUGUCCUCUGUCCUUGCAGACACCCAGGGUGGGUGACCACAGCCUAUGAAGUAAGCCAGUCCUUAAUCCAUGGAGCACAUGCCCAGAUACAGGGACAUGGUGCCAUAAUGGACACUCCAAAAUGCCUACUCCCCAUGGUUGGACCAUGUCCAGAUGACGUUUUUUUUUUUUGUUGUUGUUUGUUUGUUUGUUUGUUUUUGAGACAGAGUUUCACUUUUGUCACCCAGGAUGGAGUGCAAUGGCACGAUCUCGGCUCACUGCAACCUCCAUCUCCCGGGUACAAGCGAUUCUCCUGCCUCAGCCUCCCGGGUAGCUGGGAUUACAGGCACGUGCCACCACGCUGGCUAAUUUUUG